rnacentral:rRNA from 1 species
GAUGAACGCUGGCGGCGUGCCUAAUACAUGCAAGUAGAACGCUGAAGCUUGGUGCUUGCACCGAGCGGAUGAGUUGCGAACGGGUGAGUAACGCGUAGGUAACCUGCUUGGUAGCGGGGGAUAACUAUUGGAAACGAUAGCUAAUACCGCAUAACAGUAGAUAUUGCAUGAUAUCUGCUUGAAAGGUGCAAAUGCAUCACUACCAGAUGGACCUGCGUUGUAUUAGCUAGUUGGUGAGGUAACGGCUCACCAAGGCGACGGUACAUAGCCGACCUGAGAGGGUGGUCGGGCCAACUGGGACUGAGACACCGGCCAGACUCCUUCGGGGGGGAGCAGGAGGGGAACUUCGGCCAUGGGGGGAACCCUGGACGAACAACGCCGCGUGAGUGAAGAAGGUUUUCGGAUCGUAAAGCUCUGUUGUAAGAGAAGAACGAGUGUGAGAGUGGAAAGUUCACACUGUGACGGUAUCUUACCAGAAAGGGACGGCUAACUACGUG